rnacentral:rRNA from 1 species
GACGAACGCUGGCGGCGUGCCUAAUACAUGCAAGUAGAACGCACAGUUUAUACCGUAGCUUGCUACACCAUAGACUGUGAGUUGCGAACGGGUGAGUAACGCGUAGGUAACCUGCCUGGUAGCGGGGGAUAACUAUUGGAAACGAUAGCUAAUACCGCAUAAUAUUGAUUAUUGCAUGAUAAUUGAUUGAAAGAUGCUAUUGCAUCACUACCAGAUGGACCUGCGUUGUAUUAGCUAGUAGGUGAGGUAACGGCUCACCUAGGCGACGAUACAUAGCCGACCUGAGAGGGUGAUCGGCCACACUGGGACUGAGACACGGCCCAGAAUCCUACGGGAGGCAGCAGUAGGGAAUCUUCGGCAAUGGACGAAAGUCUGACCGAGCAACGCCGCGUGAGUGAAGAAGGUUUUCGGAUCGUAAAGCUCUGUUGUAAGGGAAGAACGGGUAUGGGAGUGGAAAGUUCACACUGUGACGGUAUCUUACCAGAAAGGGACGGCUAACUACGUG